GACGAACGCUGGCGGCGUGCUUAACACAUGCAAGUCGAACGGAAAGGCCCUGCUUUUGUGGGGUGCUCGAGUGGCGAACGGGUGAGUAACACGUGAGUAACCUGCCCUUGACUUUGGGAUAACUUCAGGAAACUGGGGCUAAUACCGGAUAGGAGCUCCUGCUGCAUGGUGGGGGUUGGAAAGUUUCGGCGGUUGGGGAUGGACUCGCGGCUUAUCAGCUUGUUGGUGGGGUAGUGGCUUACCAAGGCUUUGACGGGUAGCCGGCCUGAGAGGGUGACCGGCCACAUUGGGACUGAGAGACGGCCCAGACGCCGGCGGGAGGCAGCGGUGGGGAAUAUUGCACAAUGGGCGGAAGCCUGAUGCAGCAACGCCGCGUGCGGGAUGACGGCCUUCGGGUUGUAAACCGCUUUCGCCUGUGACGAAGAGUGAGUGACGGUAAUGGGUAAAGAAGCACCGGCUAACUACGUG
rnacentral:rRNA from 1 species